AAGUCGUAACAAGGUCUCCGUUGGUGAACCAGCGGAGGGAUCAUUACUGAGUACUACACUCUCUACCCUUUGUGAACUAUUAUACCUGUUGCUUCGGCGGCGCCCGCAAGGGUGCCCGCCGGUCUCAUCAGAAUCUCUGUUUUCGAACCCGACGAUACUUCUGAGUGUUCUUAGCGAACUGUCAAAACUUUUAACAACGGAUCUCUUGGCUCCAGCAUCGAUGAAGAACGCAGCGAAACGCGAUAUGUAAUGUGAAUUGCAGAAUUCAGUGAAUCAUCGAAUCUUUGAACGCACAUGGCGCCUUCCAGUAUCCUGGGAGGCAUGCCUGUCCGAGCGUCGUUUCAACCCUCGAGCCCCUGUGGCCCGGCGUUGGGGAUCUGCCACGGCAGGCCCCUAAAACCAGUGGCGGACCCGAAGGCCCUCUCCUUUGCGCAGUAGCAUCAGCCUCGCAUUGGGAUCCCUCGGCGUCCUGCCUCUAAACCCCCCACAAGUCCGCUCCGGCGGCACCAAGGUUGACCUCGGAUCAGGUAGGAAUACCCGCUGAACUUAA
rnacentral:rRNA from 1 species